rnacentral:rRNA from 1 species
AUACGGAGGGUGCGAGCGUUGUUCGGAAUUAUUGGGCGUAAAGAGCAUGUAGGCGGUCUGUUAAGUCUGGUGUGAAAGCCCGGGGCUCAACCCCGGAAGUGCAUUGGAUACUGGCAGACUUGAGUAUGGGAGAGGAAAGCGGAAUUCCGAGUGUAGGAGUGAAAUCCGUAGAUAUUCGGAGGAACACCAGUGGCGAAGGCGGCUUUCUGGACCAAUACUGACGCUGAGAUGCGAAAGCGUGGGGAGCGAACAGGAUUAGAUACCCCAGUAGUCC